GAUGAACGCUGGCGGCGUGCUUAAUACAUGCAAGUCGAGCGAAAAGAUGAGGAGCUUGCUCCUCUGACGUUAGCGGCGGACGGGUGAAUAACAUGUGGAUAAUCUACCUAUAAGACUGGGAUCACUUCGGGAAACCGGAGCUAAUACCGGAUAAUAUAUUGCACCGCAUGGUUCAAUAGUGAUAGUCGGUUUUGCUGUCACUUAUAGAUGGAUCCGCGCUGCAUUAGCUAGUUGGUAAGCUAAAGGCUUACCAAGGCGACGAUGGGUAGCCGAGCGCAGAGGGUGGUCGCCGACACUAGAACUUAGACGCCGACCAGACUACUAAGGGAGGCCGCAGUAGGGAAUCUUCCGCAAUGGGCGGAAGUUUUGCGCAACGGGGGCGCGUGAGUGGUAAAAGUCUUCCGAUCGUAAAACUCUGUUAUUGGUGGAGAACAGAUUUGUAAGGAACCGUGCACGUAUUGACGGUACCUAGUCAGAAAGCCCCGGCUAACUACGUG
rnacentral:rRNA from 1 species